rnacentral:rRNA from 1 species
CUUUCUUUGCUGGCGACCGGCGCACGGGUGGGUAACACGUAUCCAACCUGCCCUUUACUCGGGGAUAGCCUUUCGAAAGAAAGAUUAAUACCCGAUAGCAUAAUGAUUCCGCAUGGUUUCAUUAUUAAAGGAUUCCGGUAAAGGAUGGGGAUGCGUUCCAUUAGGUUGUUGGUGAGGUAACGGCUCACCAAGCCUUCGAUGGAUAGGGGUUCUGAGAGGAAGGUCCCCCACAUUGGAACUGAGACACGGUCCAA